rnacentral:tRNA from 1 species
GCCUGGUUGGCUCAGUGGUUUAGCACCUGCCUUUGGCCCAGGGUGUGAUCCUGGAGUCCUGGGAUCGAGUCCCACAUCGGGCU